GGGGACGUAGCUCAAUUGGCAGAGCACCGCCUUUGCAAGGCGGGGGUUGAGGGUUCGAUUCCCUUCGUCUCCACCC
rnacentral:tRNA from 1 species